CAAACUGUCGGUUGCAAGUCAACACAAGGGGCGAAAGUUCAGAUAACUCUCGUGUCUUUGUUGUGAAUGGAGGGAAAGACAACUUUCAGAGUUGAAGUUUGAAGUACUCCGCCCCCCAGUCUGUCUGUCUGCACCGGAGCUCCAGGCUGACUCCACACAGAUUGAAAUGAAUGCAGUCACAGAAACUUUUCCGGAUUUUGCCGCUUUGGUCCAUUGGUGGAAUUAUGGACAAUGAGGUCUUUCAAGCUUGUGGAGAACAUCUAUGCAGACACUGAGAUUUUCGAUCCUGAGGCUCUCAACAACCAUCAUCCAUUGACUGCAUACACAGUGGGAGGGAAGAUACUGGUGACCCCAAAAGUGUGCCUGCUGCAUUGAAGGGACGCAG